UUCCGGUUGAUCCCGCCGGACCUGACUGCUAUCGGAUUGAUACUAAGCCAUGCGAGUCUUUGCAGUAAUGCAAGGCAUACGGCUCAGUAACACGUAGUCAACUUACCCUAUGGACGAGGAUAAUCUCGGGAAACUGAGCAUAAUACUCGAUAGAUCAUAAUGCCUGGAAUGGUUUAUGGUUAAAAUGAUUCGUCGCCAUAGGAUGGGACUGCGGCCUAUCAGCUUGUUGGUGAGGUAAUGGCCCACCAAGGCGAUUACAGGUACGGGCUCUGAGAGGAGAAGCCCGGAGAUGGGUACUGAGACAAGGACCCAGGCCCUAUGGGGCGCAGCAGGCGAGAAAACUUUGCAAUGUGCGAAAGCACGACAAGGUUAAUCCGAGUGAUUUCUGCUAAAGAAAUCUUUUGCAAGUCAUAAAACCACUAGUGAAUAAGGGGUGGGCAAGUUCUGGUGUCAGCCGCCGCGGUAAAACCAGCACCUCAAGUGGUCAGGAGGAUUAUUGGGCCUAAAGCAUCCGUAGCCGGCUCUGUAAGUUUUCGGUUAAAUCCAUGUGCUCAACGCAUGGGCUGCCGAAAAUACUGCAUAGCUAGGGAGUGGGAGAGGUAGACGGUACUCAGUAGGAAGGGGUAAAAUCCUUUGAUCUAUCGAUGACCACCUGUGGCGAAGGCGGUCUACCAGAACACGUUCGACGGUGAGGGAUGAAAGCUGGGGGAGCAAACCGGAUUAGAUACCCGGGUAGUCCCAGCUGUAAACGAUGCAGACUCGAUGAUGCAUUGGCAUAUAGCCAGUGCAGUGUCGCAGGGAAGCCGUUAAGUCUGCCGCCUGGGAAGUACGUACGCAAGUAUGAAACUUAAAGGAAUUGGCGGGGGAGCACCACAAGGGGUGAAGCCUGCGGUUCAAUUGGAUUCAACGCCGGG
rnacentral:rRNA from 1 species